CCUGCCUCUCCCCCUGAGCCUGAGUGUGCCUUACAAGAAAAGAACAAAACCAAGACAAUGAUACAAGCUUUGGUCAGACUCACUUCAAUAUAGAGCUUUUCCUGAAAGCAGUUGCUGUGCUCAAACCACCAUUUACCUGUUUCCUCUGGAACAGCUUCUACAUAGGUAUCCUUCUUAAUCAAACCAAGCAGGGAUCUCAGCCUCAGAGAGUGACUCACCAGGUCAUCAAUUGCUCCACGCCACAGCUGGAGGCUGAGAAAAUGAUCAGGAUCAGGAGGGAGACAGUGCAGCAGCUGCCACCUUGUUUGACCCGGUGCCCAGAAGUGAAGGCACCUGACAGCUGCCCUGUGCAAUUAUAAACCAACAGAACAGCACCCACUGUCUAAAUAUCUGUGCAGGGGGGUGCUAAAUUGCCUUCCUCGUGUCAGAUCCCUCCAAGGUCUCAAUGGUUUGCAAAUCAACAGGCUCCCAGGAACCCAUAAAUAUUACUGUGAAACUAGGUCUGCUCUUCAACAUGACACACAUUGGUAAAUCAACCUGCUCUGUGUUUCCCGAGAGGAACCUGCAUCCUUCUAAUUUAGAAGCAACUCAAAGCUGUUGAUGUGUUUACAGUCUGAAAGCCUGAGCAAAGAACAGAGAGACUGUAUGAGGAAGGAGACAGUUAUCUGAGUAAAAGGGUACAGAUAAUACCCAAAGGUUUCAUAAAUACAGACUGGAAUAAUCUUACCAGAAAUAAUCUUGUACACUCUCCAAAACUACAUGCAUUUAAUAUUCUAAACUUAUCUACAGGAAAAAAAAAAAAAAAAAGGCAUUUGGGUCCUAGAGAACUGCUACAAUUAAGCUAUUAAAAAAAUCAGAGUGUAAAGAUGA